GCUAGUUCCACAAACUCACAUUAAUAACACUUAUAAUUCAGGGAUUCCACAAAAUUGACGUGCAAGGAUGCCGCUAAUUAUAAAGAGCCCUAGAGGUCAAGAAUGGAUCACCCACCCGAUGCCCCUCCCACGGUGGCCGCGCCACCGCUCCCCCCGGAUCGGAUCUGGCCGCCCAGCCCCACCAUCAACCAUCCCCGCAGCCAGCCGCCACCCGGAUCCAGCCCACCAACUCAUUCGCCCAAGCCACCUCCAGCCACAGCACCUGGGAACCCUUCUUCCUUGACUCCCC
rnacentral:lncRNA from 1 species